rnacentral:rRNA from 1 species
GACGAACGCUGGCGGCGUGCUUAACACAUGCAAGUCGAACGGAAAGGCCCUGCUUUUGUGGGGUGCUCGAGUGGCGAACGGGUGAGUAACACGUGAGUAACCUGCCCUUUACUUUGGGAUAACUUCAGGAAACUGGGGCUAAUACCGGAUAUGAGCUCCUGCUGCAUGGUGGGGGUUGGAAAGUUUCGGCGGUUGGGGAUGGACUCGCGGCUUAUCAGCUUGUUGGUGGGGUAGUGGCUUACCAAGGCUUUGACGGGUAGCCGGCCUGAGAGGGUGACCGGCCACAUUGGGACUGAGAUACGGCCCAGACGCCUACGGGAGGCAGCAGUGGGGAAUAUUGCACAAUGGGCGGAAGCCUGAUGCAGCAACGCCGCGUGCGGGAUGACGGCCUUCGGGUUGUAAACCGCUUUCGCCUGUGACGAAGCGUGAGUGACGGUAAUGGGUAAAGAAGCACCGGCUAACUACGUG